GGGGAAUAUUGCACAAUGGGGGAAACCCUGAUGCAGCGACGCCGCGUGAGUGAAGAAGUAUUUCGGUAUGUAAAGCUCUAUCAGCAGGGAAGAAAAUGACGGUACCUGACUAAGAAGCCCCGGCUAACUACGUGCCAGCAGCCGCGGUAAUACGUAGGGGGCAAGCGUUAUCCGGAUUUACUGGGUGUAAAGGGAGCGUAGGUGGUGUGGCAAGUCAGAUGUGAAAGCCCGGGGCUCAACUCCGGGAUUGCAUUUGAAACUGUCGUGCUAGAGUGCAGGAGAGGUAAGUGGAAUUCCUAGUGUAGCGGUGAAAUGCGUAGAUAUUAGGAGGAACACCAGUGGCGAAGGCGGCUUACUGGACUGUAACUGACACUGAGGCUCGAAAGCGUGGGGAGCAAAC
rnacentral:rRNA from 1 species